CUAUAAGUGAGAAUGAGAUGAAGUAGGAUUUUUUUUCACCAACCAAAAUAGGAGCUUUUGAAAAGGUAAGCGUUUAGGUGAGAGUACAAUGAAAUGCGCCUUCUCACAUCACACGUGCUGGGAACGCAACUCAAAACUUUUUCCAUUCGGGAAAGCAAAUUGCCAAACCAUCAAAGGCCCCAAAUUGAUCCAGAAAUGUUCAUUUUUGGGAAUGUCUCUAGGAAACAGUCCUAAAUUUAAAAAGAAAGAAAGAGGAAGAAAAAAGCUUUACGUACAGAGCUUUCCACCACGAGGUAUAUUGUAUGUAUGAGGCUCUGUGGACACGUCAUACAGUAAACACUCGCAUGCCUUUCUCUUGGGAGGUGCCUGAACCAAGCAGCCUGAGUCCACUUAGCUGUGUGCCCUAGUGGAAAAGCCGGGGACAGCCCAGUGUCCAGUGCUCUGGCAGUAGUCAGCAAGUCGGUGACUCACCCACGCACGCGGUGGGCACCGUGACUCAUAGUUGCUCUGCCGUCCCUGACAACUCACCAUUUCGGGAUGUUUCCUUGGAACAGCCUGGAGCACGAGGCAGCUGUUCAAAAUGAGCUGCAGAGCGUGUAGGACCCUGGAGAAAUGGUUACGAUCCAGGUUACUGGACUGCUGGGGGACAGGAGUCCUUGGGCACCGACCCUGCAGCGUCUGUCAACGCGCAGUGUGGGGGCAGCAAGGUGCCUUUCCUCACGUGCUGGAGUGUUACCUGAAUGCUGCCUGGGACUGCCUGGCCGAGGCCGCCCCUGUGAUGUGGAGAGGUUGGAGCUGCUGGUGCCUGUGCUGCAGUCAAACGGUUCAUUUCGGGGCCCCAAAGCCAAAGCUCCGGGAAGCUCUGCGGGUUCCUCCUGAGUUCUCCUGCCCCCAGAACCUCUCCUCCUCCAGCACCCCCUUCUCUCCAUUUCCAUCCACGUGGGGUUUAUCUCUGAGCGGACUCUCUAAGCGGGUGGGGUCGGCACUCUCUCCUCCUGUAAUUUUGCUGCGUGCUGCUUAGUUUUGUUGUCUGUAUUUGGAGCUGGGAUUUUGGAUUUAUUUUUGGUGUCUUCUCGACUUUCAAGCCAAACACGUUUGUAGCAAAGGCAGCUUUGCCUUUGUUGUGUCUGGAACUUGUGUGUAGGGAUUUGUUUUGGUCUGGGUUGGUUUGCUCUUUUCUGUUUAAGACUUAGGCUAUGUGUAUACCUCUUGGAAGCGUCACCCAGGGACCAGGCCCAGCAGGUGUGCUUUACAGAGUGGCGACCAGACAGAAGGCGCACGGCCUUUCGUCACUCAGCAGACUGAGGACGCAGCAUAUUCACCAGCAAAAACAAGUGGACUGGAGCUCCCGCUGUGGCACAACAGGAUCGGCGUCGGCUUGGGAGCGUUGGGACAUGGGUUCGAUCCCCAGCCUGGCACAGUGGGUUAAGGAUCCGGCAUUGCUUCAGCUGAAGCUUCAUUCACAGCUCAAUUCAGAUCUGAUCCCUGGCCCAGGAGCUCCUUAUGCUGCAGGGCGGUCAAAAAAAAAAGUGGAAU